rnacentral:rRNA from 1 species
CGCUAUCACUCCUACGGGAGGCAGCAGUAGGGAAUCUUCCACAAUGGGCGCAAGCCUGAUGGAGCAACACCGCGUGAGUGAAGAAGGGUUUCGGCUCGUAAAGCUCUGUUGUUAAAGAAGAACACGUAUGGGAGUAACUGUUCAUACGUUGACGGUAUUUAACCAGAAAGUCACGGCUAACUACGUGCCAGCAGCCGCGGUAAUACGUAGGUGGCAAGCGUUAUCCGGAUUUAUUGGGCGUAAAGAGAGUGCAGGCGGUUUUCUAAGUCUGAUGUGAAAGCCUUCGGCUUAACCGGAGAAGUGCAUCGGAAACUGGAUAACUUGAGUGCAGAAGAGGGUAGUGGAACUCCAUGUGUAGCGGUGGAAUGCGUAGAUAUAUGGAAGAACACCAGUGGCGAAGGCGGCUACCUGGUCUGCAACUGACGCUGAGACUCGAAGGCAUGGGUAGCGAACAGGAUUAGAUACCCUGGUAG